GAUGGGGAAAAUGACAUGGAGAUGCUGGAACUAGCGUCAUUGGGAGUCGUUAUGAGCAACGGUGCAGAAAAGACAAAGGCCGUGGCUGAUGUGAUUGGUAUGAGCAACGACGAAGACGGUGUUGCUGAUGCCAUUUACCGAUAUGCCUUCUGAGUUCUACCUGAUGCCAUUUACCGAUAUGCCUUGUGAGUUCUACGUACCCACACCACCACAAUUUCACACUCGACUCGAGCUUUUACAACAAGAGAUGCCAAAUUUCAUUUAGGCUAUUCUUCUGAUAGAAAAAAGAAACAUUGUUCAAUUCUUAUUGGGAAAUUGAUUUAUG
rnacentral:lncRNA from 1 species